UAACAAAAACAUGGUUUUUUGAUUAAUAAUUUAAAAUCUGUUCUGCUCACUGAAGUAACAUUUAAAGAGCUGCAGUAUAAUUGACUGUGCAAAGGUAGCAAAAUCAUUUGCUUCUUAAUUAGAAGCUUGUAUGAAAGAGCUGAUGAGAUGUUGACUGUCUCAAGAUAAUUAGUAGAAUUUAAAUUUUAAGUUAAAAUGCUUAGAUUUAUUUAUUAGACGAGAAGACCCUAUAGAAUUUUAUAAUUUGGCUGUAAAAUUUUAGUUAAUUUUUUUAUGGGGUUUUAACGCAGAUUAUUUGUUUGGGAGGAAUAUUAAAUUAAAACAACUUUAAUUUUUUAAAACAAUGAUGUUUGGAUAAAUGAUUAUAAAAUAAUUAUAAGAUUAAAUUACCUUAGGGAUAACAGCGUAAUAUUUUUGGAGAGACCAUAUUAAUAAAAAUGUUUGCGACCUCGAUGUUGAAUUAAGAUAAAAAUUAAAUGCAGAAGUUUAGUAUUUAAGUCUGUUCGACUUUUAAUAUCUUACGUGAUCUGAGUUC
rnacentral:rRNA from 1 species